UGCUGCGGCAGUGAGGGAACACUGCUGAGCUGUGCAGUUUGUGCUGCCAGUGAGCGUGCAAAGAAGAGGAGGGGGAACAAGCGUGCACCGGAGAAAGAAGGAGGAGUAAAAGGGAGAGAGAGUGCAAACAAUGUCAUUCUGUUCAGGAGGCAGUGCUGCAGUCAAGUUUGCCGCGCCAUGAAAGCACACCACCAGUGACCAAGAGGCUCACAGAGAGUGAAGAGAAGUUUUCAUCCUCUCCUCCUCCAGAGUGAUGCAGUGCCUGACUCUUCAGUGGAUUUCUUCUCUAGCCGCCUGCAAAGACGAAGCAGAGCUGAAAGCACUUGGAGUGCCUCUGGGUGUAACGCCGUAGUGACUUUGUUCUCUCAUUGAUAAGGUCAUCGGCCUGUUGACGGGCUGCAGCAGAGAGUGACGCCGCUGAUGUACAAAGCGCACAACUUUAAGAGACGUUCAGGCAGCCAAACUCAGACCAUAUUGUAGCAGGCUCAUGCACUGGGUUCGACUGCUGGUGGCGUGAUGGAACAUGCCUUGACAUGUUGUGCUGUCUGGAUGAAGCAGACGCAGAGACAGAGAGAGAGGCCACAAAGAAACAGAAGAAGCUGGUGGUCAACUGGAGCUUGUGUGAAGAGACUCUGCAGCAGCCUGUAUUUUGGAUGGAGGAGCUCUGCCGCUGCCUUGCUCCCUGGUCCUCUACAUCCCAUCACAAAAAGCUGAGAGAAACUGCAAACGUCAGCAGCGGCAGACUCCAGGGGUCAGACGGUGCAGCUAAAGCCCGCCAAUUCCAUACUGAGAGGAGGCAGGUGGACAGACGGGUGGAUGGACGGUAGGCCGCGGCUGCUGUGGGUGUUUCUCUGGCAGUGUCUUAGCUGGUUGUUGUGAGGAGUGAGAACGAAGCAAUCAGCAAGUAUACUGCCGCAGAAAUUCUUCGCAAUAAGAAGCCCUGGGAUCAUUCAUCAUUGAGAGGUGGAAAGAUUUUCCACGGCAAAGAAAGUGAAGAGAGAUCGACAGAGCUUGGCCUUUUUUUAUCACCAGCAUUUACAUCUGGAAGAAGCCAUCAAACUUCUCAAUGCUUAAGCUGUACCUCUAUGAUCUUCUGCUGCCAUCUUGUGACUGAAAACAACCUAUCUGCAUGCUUCUGUUUAUCAGUCCUACCGGCUUCUACUGUAAAACAUACAAUUAUCUGUUAUAGCUGAUUGUAAAAGAGAUGCAUGGCUUUAAAGGUAUAUUUCUUUGUGACAAAUCUUUAAUCUUAUUAUUCACUUCACUCAUUUAUUAGCUGUGUACAGGUGCAAAUAAAGGUUUCUUAACAACUGA